GACGCUCUUCCGAUCUGGUCAUCACCUCUGCCCCUUCUGCUGAUGCCCCCAUGUUUGUGAUGGGCGUGAACCCUGAGAAUUAUGAGAACUCCCUCAAGAUUGUCAGCAAUGCCUCCUGUACCGCCAACAGCUUGGCCCCUCUGGCCAAGGUCAUCCAUGAAAACUUUGGCAUCAUGGAGGGACUCAUGACCACAGUCCAUGCCAUCACUGCCACCCAGAACAUCAG